CAUGUCUUUUUGAUUAUAAUUUAAGGUUUAAUCUGCUCAAUGAUUAUUUAAAUUGCCGCAGUAUUUUGACUGUGCAAAGGUAGCAUAAUAAUUAGUUUUUUUAUUGGAAACUGGAAUGAAUGAUUGGACGAAAAAAUUUCUGUCUCUUUAUUAUUUUAAUUGAAUUUUACUUUUAAGUUAAAAGGCUUAAAUUUUUUUAAAGGACGAGAAGACCCUAUAGAGUUUGAUUUUUAAUUUAGUGAUGAUUUUUAGUAUUUAUAAAUUUACUUAUAUAAAAAUUUAGUUGGGGUGACUAAAAGAUAUAAUUAACUCUUUUAAUUUUAAUCAAUUAUUUUUGAUUAUUAAAUCUUUAUUUUUAAUUUUAAAAUAAAUUACCUUAGGGAUAACAGCGUAAUUUUUUUUUAAAGUUCUUAUUAAAAAAAGAGUUUGCGACCUCGAUGUUGGAUUAAAAUUAAUUUUAAGUGUAGAAGCUUGAAUAUUAAGUCUGUUCGACUUUUAAAAUUUUACAUGAUCUGAGU
rnacentral:rRNA from 1 species